rnacentral:rRNA from 1 species
CCUACGGGAGGCAGCAGUGAGGAAUAUUGGUCAAUGGACGAGAGUCUGAACCAGCCAAGUAGCGUGAAGGAUGACUGCCCUAUGAGUUGUAAACUUCUUUUAUAUGGGAAUAAAACAGGGUAUGCAUACCCUCUUGUAUGUACCAUAUGAAUAAGGAUCGGCUAACUCCGUGCCAGCAGCCGCGGUAAUACUGAGGAUACGACCGGUGUCCGGAUGUAUUGGGUUUAAAGGGAGCGUAGGUGGAUUGUUAAGUCAGUUGUGAAAGUUUGCGGCUCAACCGUAAAAUUGCAGUUGAAACUGGUAGUCUAGAGUACAGUAGAGGUGGGCGGAAUUCGUGGUGUAGCGGUGAAAUGCUUAGAUAUCACGAAGAACUCCGAUUGCGAAGGCAGCUCACUGGACUGCAACUGACACUGAUGCUCGAAAGUGUGGGUAUCAAACAGGAUUAGAUACCCUUGUAGUC